GGUUAAGCGACUAAGCGUACACGGUGGAUGCCCCGGCAGUCAGAGGCGAUGAAGGACGUGCUAAUCUGCGAUAAGCGUCGGUAAGGUGAUAUGAACCGUUAUAACCGGCGAUUUCCGAAUGGGGAAACCCAGUGUGAUUCGUCACACUAUCAUUAACUGAAUCCAUAGGUUAAUGAGGCGAACCGGGGGAACUGAAACAUCUAAGUACCCCGAGGAAAAGAAAUCAACCGAGAUUCCCCCAGUAGCGGCGAGCGAACGGGGAGCAGCCCAGAGCCUGAAUCAGUGUGUGUGUUAGUGGAAGCGUCUGGAAAGGCGCGCGAUACAGGGUGACAGCCCCGUACACAAAAAUGCACAUACUGUGAGCUCGAUGAGUAGGGCGGGACACGUGGUAUCCUGUCUGAAUAUGGGGGGACCAUCCUCCAAGGCUAAAUACUCCUGACUGACCGAUAGUGAACCAGUACCGUGAGGGAAAGGCGAAAAGAACCCCGGCGAGGGGAGUGAAAAAGAACCUGAAACCGUGUACGUACAAGCAGUGGGAGCACGCUUAGGCGUGUGACUGCGUACCUUUUGUAUAAUGGGUCAGCGACUUAUAUUCUGUAGCAAGGUUAACCGAAUAGGGGAGCCGAAGGGAAACCGAGUCUUAACUGGGCGUUAAGUUGCAGGGUAUAGACCCGAAACCCGGUGAUCUAGCCAUGGGCAGGUUGAAGGUUGGGUAACACUAACUGGAGGACCGAACCGACUAAUGUUGAAAAAUUAGCGGAUGACUUGUGGCUGGGGGUGAAAGGCCAAUCAAACCGGGAGAUAGCUGGUUCUCCCCGAAAGCUAUUUAGGUAGCGCCUCGUGAAUUCAUCUCCGGGGGUAGAGCACUGUUUCGGCAAGGGGGUCAUCCCGACUUACCAACCCGAUGCAAACUGCGAAUACCGGAGAAUGUUAUCACGGGAGACACACGGCGGGUGCUAACGUCCGUCGUGAAGAGGGAAACAACCCAGACCGCCAGCUAAGGUCCCAAAGUCAUGGUUAAGUGGGAAACGAUGUGGGAAGGCCCAGACAGCCGGGAUGUUGGCUUAGAAGCAGCCAUCAUUUAAAGAAAGCGUAAUAGCUCACUGGUCGAGUCGGCCUGCGCGGAAGAUGUAACGGGGCUAAACCAUGCACCGAAGCUGCGGCAGCGACACUAUGUGUUGUUGGGUAGGGGAGCGUUCUGUAAGCCUGUGAAGGUGUGCUGUGAGGCAUGCUGGAGGUAUCAGAAGUGCGAAUGCUGACAUAAGUAACGAUAAAGCGGGUGAAAAGCCCGCUCGCCGGAAGACCAAGGGUUCCUGUCCAACGUUAAUCGGGGCAGGGUGAGUCGACCCCUAAGGCGAGGCCGAAAGGCGUAGUCGAUGGGAAACAGGUUAAUAUUCCUGUACUUGGUGUUACUGCGAAGGGGGACGGAGAAGGCUAUGUUGGCCGGGCGACGGUUGUCCCGGUUUAAGCGUGUAGGCUGGUUUUCCGGGCAAAUCCGGAAAAUCAAGGCUGAGGCGUGAUGACGAGGCACUACGGUGCUGAAGCAACAAAUGCCCUGCUUCCGGGAAAAGCCUCUAAGCAUCAGGUAACAUCAAAUCGUACCCCAAACCGACACAGGUGGUCAGGUAGAGAAUACCAAGGCGCUUGAGAGAACUCGGGUGAAGGAACUAGGCAAAAUGGUGCCGUAACUUCGGGAGAAGGCACGCUGAUAUGUAGGUGAAGUCCCUUGCGGAUGGAGCUGAAAUCAGUCGAAGAUACCAGCUGGCUGCAACUGUUUAUUAAAAACACAGCACUGUGCAAACACGAAAGUGGACGUAUACGGUGUGACGCCUGCCCGGUGCCGGAAGGUUAAUUGAUGGGGUCAGCGCAAGCGAAGCUCUUGAUCGAAGCCCCGGUAAACGGCGGCCGUAACUAUAACGGUCCUAAGGUAGCGAAAUUCCUUGUCGGGUAAGUUCCGACCUGCACGAAUGGCGUAAUGAUGGCCGGGCUGUCUCCACCCGAGACUCAGUGAAAUUGAACUCGCUGUGAAGAUGCAGUGUACCCGCGGCAAGACGGAAAGACCCCGUGAACCUUUACUAUAGCUUGACACUGAACAUUGAGCCUUGAUGUGUAGGAUAGGUGGGAGGCUUGGAAGUGUGGACGCCAGUCUGCAUGGAGCCGACCUUGAAAUACCACCCUUUAAUGUUUGAUGUUCUAACGUUGACCCGUAAUCCGGGUUGCGGACAGUGUCUGGUGGGUAGUUUGACUGGGGCGGUCUCCUCCUAAAGAGUAACGGAGGAGCACGAAGGUUGGCUAAUCCUGGUCGGACAUCAGGAGGUUAGUGCAAUGGCAUAAGCCAGCUUGACUGCGAGCGUGACGGCGCGAGCAGGUGCGAAAGCAGGUCAUAGUGAUCCGGUGGUUCUGAAUGGAAGGGCCAUCGCUCAACGGAUAAAAGGUACUCCGGGGAUAACAGGCUGAUACCGCCCAAGAGUUCAUAUCGACGGCGGUGUUUGGCACCUCGAUGUCGGCUCAUCACAUCCUCGGGGCUGAAGUAGGUCCCAAGGGUAUGGCUGUUCGCCAUUUAAAGUGGUACGCGAGCUGGGUUUAGAACGUCGUGAGACAGUUCGGUCCCUAUCUGCCGUGGGCGCUGGAGAACUGAGGGGGGCUGCUCCUAGUACGAGAGGACCGGAGUGGACGCAUCACUGGUGUUCGGGUUGUCAUGCCAAUGGCACUGCCCGGUAGCUAAAUGCGGAAGAGAUAAGUGCUGAAAGCAUCUAAGCACGAAACUUGCCCCGAGAUGAGUUCUCCCUGACUCCUUGAGAGUCCUGAAGGAACGUUGAAGACGACGACGUUGAUAGGCCGGGUGUGUAAGCGCAGCGAUGCGUUGAGCUAACCGGUACUAAUGAACCGUGAGGCUUAACCUU
rnacentral:rRNA from 1 species